rnacentral:rRNA from 1 species
AUUGAACGCUGGCGGCAGGCCUAACACAUGCAAGUCGAGCGGAUGAAGGGAGCUUGCUCCUGGAUUCAGCGGCGGACGGGUGAGUAAUGCCUAGGAAUCUGCCUGGUAGUGGGGGAUAACGUCCGGAAACGGGCGCUAAUACCGCAUACGUCCUGGGGGAGAAAGUGGGGGAUCUUCGGACCUCACGCUAUCAGAUGAGCCUAGGUCGGAUUAGCUAGUUGGUGGGGUAAAGGCCUACCAAGGGGACGAUCCGUAACUGGUCUGAGAGGAUGAUCAGUCAACGUGAACUGAGAAACGGUCCCGACUUCUAACGGAAGCCGCCGGUGGGAAUUAUGGACAAUGGGGGAAAGGCUUAUCCAGGCCAGCCGGGUGUGGUGAAAAGGUCUUCCGAAUGGUAAGCAACUUAAGUUGGGAGGAAGGGCAGUUAGUUAAUACCGUGGUGGUUUGACGUUACCAACAGAAUAAGCACCGGCUAACUUCGUG